AGCCGCGGUAAGACGGAAGGGGCUAGGGUUGUUCGGAAUUACUGGGCGUAAAGCGCGCGUAGGCGGCUUGGCAAGUGCGGCGUGAAAGUCCUGGGCUCAACCCGGGGACGGCGCUGCGGACUGCUCGGCUGGAGUCCGGAAGAGGGUGGUGGAAUUCCGAGUGUAGAGGUGAAAUUCGUAGAUAUUCGGAGGAACACCGGUGGCGAAGGCGGCCACCUGGUCCGGAACUGACGCUCAAGUGCGAAAGCGUGGGGAGCAAAC
rnacentral:rRNA from 1 species